rnacentral:rRNA from 1 species
GAUGAACGCUAGCUACAGGCUUAACACAUGCAAGUCGAGGGACCGGCGCACGGGUGAGUAACACGUAUCCACCCUGCCCUUUACUCGGGGAUAGCCUUUCGAAAGAAAGAUUAAUACCCGAUAUAAAGGAUGGGGAUGCGUCCCAUUAGGUUGUUGUUGAGGUAACGGCUCACCAAGCCUUCGAUUGAUAGGGGUUCUGAGCGGAAGGUCCCCAACAUGGGCACUGAGACACGGUCCAAACUCCGACGUGAGGCAUCAGUGAGGAAGAUGAGUCAAUGGGCGCUAGCCUGAAACAGCCAAGUAGCGAGAAGGAUGAAUGCUUAUGGGGCGUAAACUUCUUUUAUAUAAGAAUAGGUAUUAUAUGAAUAAGGAGCGGCUAACUCCGUGCCAGCAGCCGCGGUAAUUC